ACAGGCCUCCCCGUCACCGACAGUUUAAGGGAUGGGGAGCAAGUCGGGGGGGGGGAGAGAUUGCCCUCAUACCCAGUGUCAUCUUCUCCCCCCCCCUUCCAUUUUAUUCCGCAUGCCCGUACGGUCUUUGAAACGCCGCCUGCUUUGCUUCGCCCAUGAAACUUUCCUCUCCCGUCGCUCGAACCGUCAGUGUCAAGGUGUCGCUUGGGGAUAGAAGUGAUGGUUUGUUAGAAGUGCAAAAGAUGGGUAUCAUUACAAUAAUAGGACUUCUAACAGGGGGGCUGGAGAAGUCCGUUUUGAUCCAGGAAAGCUCCCACUGAAAUAACCAACCCAAGGUAAUUUGUCAAGACUACAAGAUUCAUACAGAGUUCACUGAAAUCCCAAACAGUGACUACAGUGACUAAUAUUUCCUGUUUCCUGCAAUGCAAAGCUUAAAGGAUCAUGUGACAAGAUCUCUCUUCUAUCACUUGAACAAAAAAUAUAGCAGUGAUAUUUAAGCUGAUGCAAUUCUGUUAUAAUUAAGUCUUGGAAAACGAUCCUUUUUGCACUGGCCUUUGUAAGUUUGCCAGCUACAAUGGCUACUAGGAGAUUCUGGAAACUGUAAUCCAAAAAUAUUUUUUCCAAGCUCUGGCUGUAACUGACAAGGCAAAAAAAAAAAAAAAAAAAGGUAUUCAGCAUAACACCAAACUAGUAUCUUAAGAUACAGCAGCCCAACUAAGGUUCAAAGCAGAACUUCUGGUUGCUCCCUGAGAGUCGUCAGCAGCAGUUUCCUUGGAAAUGGAAUCCUAUUAACCAUAGUAAUUUUAUCAAAUGUUAAUUAACUCUGUUCUAAUAGGGGCUCCUUGUCUCACAAUGUCUAUAAAUAGUCAUAUUUACCAGCUAGAUUCCAGCUAGCUCAUCCUUCUAACACAAAGGUGAGGAGCUUCCUUCAGCCUAAAUCCCUAAUUCAAUUCAAGAGAGGUUCUUGGUGCUUGCAUGUAGUGGUCUGCAGGGCUGAAUGCAAAAAAGGGGGACCCAAAAUACCAGUGUAUUUUAGCUUACAGAACUCCCUGCCUGUUUCUGAGUUAAGACAUGUCAACAUUUUUGAAUGGGAAGAAAUUGUGCAAAAGCUGGGUGUAACUGGGUGAGUUUGGGCCCACAGGAAAGGUCUACCUCCGUGUUCCGUUAGCCAUCCAUGGAUUCCUCUGGGCUACUUGCUUCUUUAUUCCCUAUUGAAAGGACUAACUAUGCUAACUAUACAGGACUCUGGAGAAACCAUAAGGCUGAGGUCAGACUGGGAGUCACAUCUGAGGGAGGACCUUGCUAUUGUGAUAGAACUGUCCCUGACCCUUCUGUGCCACUGCCAUCAUGACAGACAGUUGAUGUACCUGCAACAGGUGGACACAGACAUCCAUGAAAAGAACCUAAGGAUUUAGAAACCUUGAAUACUAUUUGGACAGUCUUGAGUAUGGGAUGUCAUCAUAAAGCAACAGUAAAAUAUCUAAAAGGUCAUGUUAACCAUAAUAACCAGCUAUAUUAAGGACACUGGAGAGAA